AUUUGGUUCAGAAUGGGGAUAAGAGAUCAGAAACAGGAUGAAAAAGUGAGAGCUAGGCUGCCUUGGAUUAGCUGAUGCUUGGGAUUUAAGAAAGUAUAUGGUCUGAUGACAAUCUACAGCCACAUACUUAGGCUUCUCAGCCGGUAGGUUUGCAUGAAGAAAGUAUUUGCAGAGAUGUUUGUAAGAAAAAGAGCAGUCGGGCUGCCUGGGCUUCUCUUUAGAUUUUCAUUUCAGAAGACAAGCCCAAGCAGUGAACUCUGAAGUGUUCAAAUUCUGGUGUAGACAAGAAGCGAGGAGAUGUGGGCAGCACCUCAAAUCUCACAGCAUGUUUAUGGUCCCUUUGUUGCGCGCAGCCUGUCACAUGGCAUUUGAAAGCUUUUGUGAAAACAAUAGUAAGAAAAUUAUUUUCUAAAGAGGAAGCCUGAGCAAGAAAAGAUUUAGUCGUGGAACUCUGCUAUCCCCCAGCCUCUCUAUUUGUUUUGAUGGAAACUGAGUACAUUACAAGUUGAUUGCUUCUUUUUUUUCCAGGUUUCAAAGAUGGGGAUGCAGGAGGAUGGAAGCCAAGACCUCUGUGCAGAAGAAGCAGAGCCUUCCCCAAACUGGGAUGGCGAGAGUUGAAAGGAAGUUUUGCCUUCACAGCAGCUGCCAAAAUCAAACUCUUUUCAAGUGUUUUUGAUGUGACUCGCAGGAGGUGCAACUACUGGGAGCUGCGUGCAAACAGGGACCCUGCAGAUUUCUUCCAAUCCUGGCGACAAAGGUGUGACAUUUAUGAUUUGUGACUGUUAUUCCACACGUGUGAAUUGCUGAAAAAAACCCAAAAGCUUUUGAAAAGGCAACUUCCAUUUGUGACUGAUGCAGUUUGUAAACGAGAAAGUGCCAACAUUGGAGUGCUGGCUGGUUUAGCUCAAGGUACCAACUGCUUCCCAGGAUGACCUGCUGCCUGGAGCUGACUGCUCCAAUGCUGUUAACAAUGCUCUUUCAAUAAGGGGAGUGUUAUUACUGCAUAGCUUUAUCUUGGCUAACAAU